rnacentral:lncRNA from 1 species
UUUUUAACCGGUAUGCAUCAUUCAAUAUUGCAAUAGAGUAGCCUCCCUUAGAAAUAUUGUGAGCCUUUAGACCGAGCCUUUACAUCAGGUACUUCGAUAUCCAUUACACAUAUAUACAGCUUGAGAGAUCUUGGGAGGCAUCUAUUCUGACACCUAGAACUGCUACGUGACCAGUGAAAAUGUUUGGGAAAAUAGCAUUUUUCUUGGCUGGUGUCUAUGCAGGCAUAUUUGCAGAUCAACACUACACGUUGCCCCGAGUUGAUAACCCUCAGGAUAUCUGGGCCAAAGUGAAGGAGUUUUCAGAAAAAUACAAGAAAGAUGAUUCCGGAUCUUCAAAGGACUAGACAACCAGGGAACACACAAACACACUUGUAAUAAAUCUGUUUGAACGGUACGCUGGUGGACAUGAAUACUGAUGUCGUCAAAUCAGGGAGUGCUAGUGAUUAUUUCAGUAUCAAACCACCUUAUUUCCCCAGUGUGCAGAUGUGCUCCUGUUGCUAUGACAACACAGUGAUGACCGUGGACCUGCUGGUUGCCCUCUGUUCACUAUGUGCAUCAUCACAGCUUCCUGACCUACAUGAGGGUGGCAGUAUUUAGUAAGUUUAUGUUUAGUUUGGCUUAGCUAUUCAUAGUCUGAUAACGCACGAGUUCUGAAGCCACUAUCAGUUUAUAGACCAAGUUUGCUGCAUAUCUUUGGUGAGGGUCUCUAGUCAUUCCUUGGUUGUCAUAGCAACACAUCCCGAUAUACACCUGAAAAAUAAUUAAGCACCCCUAACUGUAUAAUUCCACAUAAAAUAGCAAAUUUUAGAAAUCGUCUCUUGUAUUUGUUUCUGACAAAACAUAUUUCUUAAAAAAUUACGUUUACAAAGUGACGUACUCAGGGUAGACAUUGAGCAAAUCUAACUGGUCUGCAGUUCAUUUUGGACGAGUGGUUUACGUAAGAUAGCUAGAUUUUGCAGGAAACCAACUAGUCAAUUUUUACUAGUCUCAGACUAACAAGACCAGUAUCGGUCUAUCACUAGUACGGAUUAUGUCAUGACUUAUUUUUUAACUAUUCCAUGACAACAGUUAUUUGAUGACAAAUCUCAAUGGCUUCGUCUACUUCCCUGCAUCUGUUUGUGCUGACUUUAAUCAGGAAUUGGUCGUAUCUUAUAUAUUUAACAAAAAGGUUAUUGUCAUAUGUAGGUAUCUCCAAACAUAUAAGGUAUGAACAUAAAGGAGUGUUGCUUAACUUUAUUCCAGGUGUAUAUUUUAAUUAUAUUUGUCACGACACGAGCCGAACUCAUAACCUGUCACAUCUGUUAGGGUGUCAUGUAACACUUGGCGCCAGUCCUCCAUCCCCACUGUAGUUACUCCCCUUGUUGAGGUUAUCGCUAAGCCUUAUGAGUAUUGCAUUAUAAGACCAUCCACUACCAUUAACAUGAUGAGGCCACACAUUUUAUUUUUUCGUGUCACGGGUCCGUCGCCCUACUAAACAUGCUAAAAAGUAGCAGGAACAGAAAUAAAUUAAUCAUAAAAAUAUAUAUUUUUAUUGUCUCUCGCUAGUAAUAUAGUCCCUCUUUUACAAUAAAAAUGUUUAUAUAAUUCCACGUGUACAUCACUAGGAGUGAUUCAAGAAGCAAGCUGCAGUAUGACUUUCAUAUAAAUAAAUAAAUGAUUGAUAGCUAUUUAUUUUUUUUGUUUCGACCAACCUUAUAUGGAGCAGCUGAAAUAAAUCUGUAAAACAUAAAACUAAAAAAGUGUGGCCUUAUCUUCUGGGUAUAUUUCACCCAUGGUAGGGAAUAUUAACUUGGAUGGUUGAAGAACUUAUUUGAUUCCCCUUGUCCCGAGCCUUGCAUCACGACCAUGUAAUGUCAGGUGCAUCCUUACUGCGAAGAAACAUCCACACUUCAAAAUUCAUAUUUACCAUGUUUGCAUUUCAAUAUGGCUACCAACAUGACCAAGUUAGCAUGUUUAAGGCAACAAGAAAUAAUCAUACUGAACUGAAACUGAAUUAACUCCCUUUAUUUAUAUUUCAUAUAUCAUGUAAAAACAGACAGGUAGGUCUGUAUAUCAAGUAAUUAAAUUAGUUUGGUCACCUUUUUUUUUUUUAAAUGUUUGGAUGUGCAAUUUUUUAUAUAUAUAUUUUUGUCCUUAGGUUUGUUUGAGACAUAACAAAAAUCACCCCCUGAACUAUAUAAUGUCUACAUCCCUUGUGAUAGCGGACUGUUUCCAUUAUUGGUUCUAGUGAUACUCAGGAUUCCUUGUAGAAAAUCUUUGACACGUAUUGCAUUGUGAGAUUGAUGUGUGGAUGUUAGUUAAGUCAACAUGGUAAGGAAUUUUUAGAUGAAAAGAGAGAAAUUGAAUUUAAAAAACUAAUCUCAAUUUUUUUUAAUAUUCACUAAACAUUCACAUAUUGUUUGGAUGUGCAAUAGACAUAAUUGUUUUAAAGGUAAUGGUUUGUGAUCAUUACUCUCAGAAAUUAGAUCUGAUGUUUGAAUAUCAUUUAGUCAUAUUUUUUUUAUUGUGAUAAAUAAUAUCGGAGUAACUGAGGAAGAGAAUUUGUACAUAGACAAUAGAAGUGAAUAAAGUAUUUCAGAAUGUG